rnacentral:rRNA from 1 species
CUACGGGGGGCAGCAGUGGGGAAUAUUGCACAAUGGAGGAAACUCUGAUGCAGCAACGCCGCGUGGAGGAUGACACUUUUCGGAGCGUAAACUCCUUUUAUAUAGGAAGAUGAUGACGGUACUAUAUGAAUAAGCGCCGGCUGACUCCGUGCCAGCAGCCGCGGUAAUACGGAGGGCGCAAGCGUUACUCGGAAUCACUGGGCGUAAAGAGCGUGUAGGCGGAUUAAAGAGUCAGAAGUGAAAUCCUAUAGCUUAACUAUAGAACUGCUUCUGAAACUCUUAAUCUAGAAUAUGGGAGAGGUAGAUGGAAUUUCUGGUGUAGGGGUAAAAUCCGUAGAGAUCAGAAGGAAUACCGAUUGCGAAGGCGAUCUACUAGAACAUUAUUGACGCUGAGACGCGAAAGCGUGGGGAGCAAACAGGAUUAGAUACCCUGGUAGUC